rnacentral:rRNA from 1 species
UACGUAGGGGGCAAGCGUUGUCCGGAAUCAUUGGACGUAAAGCGCGUGUAGGCGGCCCGAUAAGUCCGCUGUGAAAGUCCAGGGCUCAACCCUGGGAUGCCGGUGGAUACUGUCGGGCUCGAGUCCGGAAGAGGAGUGUGGAAUUCCUGGUGUAGCGGUGAAAUGCGCAGAUAUCAGGAGGAACACCAAUGGCGAAGGCAGCACUCUGGGACGUGACUGACGCUGAGACGCGAAAGCGUGGGGAGCAAACAGG